rfam:Ipomoea nil DNA, scaffold: scaffold3069, cultivar: Tokyo-kokei standard.
GCUGGGCUUGGUAGCGUGAGCCUGUAACCCGAGUGGGAGCAUUAAGAUGGCGGAACGAUUGGGCUUGCUCUGAUGGCUGGGCUUGGGGUGCUAUCUCCUGGCCUGCCCGUUCCAAGUGGUGAGAUGGGUUGUGAAGUCUCUGCUAAAGUGGAGGCGUCUCGGCCCUUAGAUUGGAGGGCACCGCGUGAGGCUGGCUUCACAGAGCAGCGAAAACCUCUUUCUCUCUGCAGUGGAAGGAUAACAGGCCGGUGCAACCUUGGUCCGCUAUAGCCUGAUGGGCCGCCCAACUUGAACCACCAUCUUC